CACUUUUUGUAUGGGAUCAGGUCCACCACCCUAUAAGAAAGUUGUUCCACAUUAUAUGGUCUUCACUUAUUCUACAAACACCACAGCACAAAACCUUAUAGAAUAGCCACAAAUAGGCUUCAAAACUGCUAUCAAAACACUGAAAUUCAGUUACUGUUUCCAAUAUGAAUAUUCAGAAACACAGCAGCACCACUUUGAACCACUCUUUUUCUUGGGUUCCAAUUGUUUCUAGGGGCAAGUUUCUCAGUAAAGUUUAUACUCCUAUAGUUCCUCUACAAGUUUUAUAUAGUGACCAUUAACCAAAGCCUCUUGGAUCCCAAACUACAAUAGCCCAAAGUUUGCUCCAAUUGCUGAAAUUCAGACUGAAUUUCACUGUCUGAAAUCCCCACUUUCAGACAACUCUACUUUAGGCCAGCUUUUCUCUAGGUUCCAAAUAGCUUUAGGGCUAAGUGUAUUAACAAAACUUAUACUCCUCAUGUAUCUCUAUAACUUUGUUAUAAUGAUCAUCUUCAAACAGUUUAUAGAUCCAAAGUUAUGAGGACCCAAAAACAGCUAGUUGAUAUUAUUUUCAGCAAACUUCAAAUCUGAUUCAAAACUGAAUUAAACUUUUUACUCCAACUUUUCCUCUAAAACUUGGAAUUCUCCAUACAUAAAAGUUGUUCAACUUACCAAAAUCUACAACUUUGAUAUAUGGACAACUAGCAAAUUCUCUCUAGAUUUAAAACUCCACUUUUGGGCUAGUUGAGGGUUUCAAAUGUGACUCCUUCUCAUCUAGUGAUUUAUCAACUCAAUCCAUACUCCUAAAAGCUAAGUGACUCCCCUUAAUCUCAAAUUCAACUCUAGUAUAUGAAGCUCAUGUCCAAAGUGUCCUUGGUUUAGGAGUUGUUUUGUUUAUCCACAAUUCCAAGCAAGGUUUUGAAAUCUCACUUAAGGUUUUUAAUGUUAAUCCAGUUCCUCAAUUAAUUCUUCCACUCAACCCACCUUUGAAAGCAAAGUUGCUCUAGGUCCUAAGUCUUACCUUUAAUACUUUAAAUUCCAAGCCAACUUAUUACUUGCUCAAGAGACGACUUCUCUUCCCAUGUCUUAAGCAAAGUUCUUAAUCUGAGCCCUAUACUCUAAUACACAACACCAUAUUCACUGAAAUUUUUUGACCAAGUGGAUGCAUUCUAGGUAUAUCAAACAAGAUAAUGCAGAUGCUUAUGAUGGCAUGUCAGAGUUUUAGUUAACGUAACACCAGGGGUGUUACAGUCUUCCCCCCUAAAAAGAAAUCUUGUCCCGAGAUUUAAAACUCUAGGCUAGGUAAUGGAAAAGAAAAUGUGUCACUGGCUUAUUUCCCAUUACUCCUAUAAGGCAAGGGUGUGUUUCUAUUGGUUUAUACCAGAAAUAAACUACACAAACCUUAGGUUUACAGGGCACUAGAAACUCAGGAACACGCUCUUCUAGAUACUCCUCCGAUUCCUAUGUGGUUUCAUCUUCCAUGGGUUGGUUCCACUGUAGUUUAUGAAACUUGAUAACUUUUCUUCAAGUGACUGAUCCUUUAAAUCCAAUCCUUUCAGGCAGUGGCCGUUUAGUCCAUGGUCCGUUGGAUGGUCAGUGCAAGGCCAGAAAUUGGAACACAUUGAUUCCGCUCGUUCCUGUCCUUCGCUUCAAGGCCUGUCCCUCGGUGUGGUCAGUACUCCAUACUGUCGGGCAGCAAAGCUUACACUUGUUCACUUAUUAUGAUGGUUCACCAGGGCCUCUUUCCUCCUCCCUUUUCUGCUCACUCGUAUGGGAUAUUCCAAGUAGGUUAAAUCUGGUCCAAGGUUAACAUCUGAAAUCUCAAUAACAUGCUUGGGGACUCGAAGACAUUUCUUUAACUGGGACACGUAGAACAUGUUGUGCACUGUUGACAAAUUCUUUGGCAACUGUACCUUAUAAACUACUAGUCCACCAAAUGAACUGAGUUCCAAGGCUUCACGAAUAGGAAAAGGUAGUAUAGAAAAGCAAAGAUAGAUAGCAUGAAUAGGAUGGAUGAAACAUGUACUAAGAUACUAUAUAGGGGGCUUAACUUAAAAUUGUAUGUCAUGAUGCGUGCUCGACCUAUUCGUCCUCACAAUUCUUGCCAACAUAUAGUGGCUUUCAUGCUCUAUGGCAGUGGCAUACCUACACUCCGUCAUUGAAUACAAGUCGCACUUUUCUAGGGUUUUAGUUAGUGUACCUGCAGAAAGUUGCAUUAUAGUUGUGGGUUAGUGGUUAGCAUCCUAAACUAAGCCACCUUAUAGUCCUUAACUUAACCAUAUACUAGUUGCACUUCGAGUAUCAGGAUUUGAUCAUAGAUUCUUAAGUUUUUCCAAAAUAGUUUGGACUCAAAAUCCUUUUGAAGCAUAUCAAAAGAUUACUUUAAUAUCCAUGCUAAUGGGGGAUCGCUCCGAUACCAAUCUGUGGCAGCCCUCCCAAGUUAUCAGGCCCAUAUGCACCAAUCCUUGCCUUGAUGGCCUCAGAUGGCUAUGCACGUGUACCAGGUAACUUAACAAGGCUAUCACGAGUUCAACCACUUGAACUCAUCAUCCCAAGGAUCCUCCACCAUACAUGCAUAUUACAGUAAUCACAUUCGAUACACACACUUCGAAGAUACGAGCGGAAGACUUUACAAACAUUCUUUACCUUUUCAAAACUCAAGUUUCACAUGUUUCGAAAGAGUAAUAUUUAUUACAAGUCCUGAUAUACUCAAAGUGCAUAAGUUAUUACAAAAGCAGGAAGGUAGAAACCCUCCAAAGCUCAUACAUAAACCUAGCUAGUCCUCCUCUAGAACUGGAAACGCCCUCCAGCCACAGGAACAACUAGAGUACUUCUCAUCACCUACAACAACAUGGGUUCGAAAACCCUGAGUACGGAGUGUACUUUUGCAAGUCUUACCCGACUAAGGAAAAAUGACUCCCAAGGAUAUGUUGGUUAAAUAGGAAUCAAGGAAAAGGCUUUAGCAAGAAUCAACUUAGAUACUUUUGCAGAAAUAGCUUACUAAAGUGAGUCCUUACUUUCAAUAUUUUAACACCAGAUUAAAUAUUAAUAAACUCUGGUUGUAUCUAGUCUAAUUUCACCAUCUCAUCAAUACAACAUCAUUUUUACUCAUAAUGUUUACAUCCUUAGGUUGUAGGUCGGAGAUCAAGUCUCCACUCUCCGGGGAUAUAACGGCGAUCCGAAUUGAUUUACUCAGCUGAGGAUCUCUAACCACACGACAUAUGUUUCUCGUAACUCUUGCUUAUGUCUAUCAUUCCCACGGAUCCUCCACUGCAUGAACAGGUCCGCGCUACCCGGGAGCACACCACCCUUUUUAGGCGGUCCUUUGCUAGGAGGGUACGUGCCACUCUCGCCAUCUCUCCACUCCUAGUGCGCGAUUGUCUUUUCAUGUAUGGAAUAGCCGGGUUCAAGCUUACCCUGUCCCAUAUCCAGGGCAUGUGGCCAGUUAAGAUAGUCCUUGAUCAUACAGGCCUACAUACGCAUCCGAUCCUUAAUUAACAUUGGUAGAACAUCACCUGUUCCUAGCCCAAGUCCCGAUUUAAGUACUUCAACCUUAGGAUUGUUUGUGUUCCUUAGGAUGAAAAGAGCAUUAUAGGGAACUUUGCAGUAAGAUCCCACCAUGCUCCCAAUGAAAAUAUUCUUGCAAGUAGAAGUCGUCCUUCCUCAGGAUAACCCCUGAGCUAGGCAUUAAUGCAAAAGACAACCUCUAUCCACAAGAUCUAAGCAGGGCUAAGCAUUUUUUGUAAAUCAUAUUUUGAUACUUCAUCAGAAGUAUCUAUAAAGGUAUGGAUAUCAAGGUAGGCAAUGCAUCCAAUAGUUUCCAAGCAACUCCUAUAAACUUAAUGUACAUUUCACUAGACUUAAAGUGUAUAAAAAUCUUUUAAAAACACAAGGAAGGGGUUGCAUGCACCGGGGCUUGUCUUAUUGCAGGAGAAGAUCCAAAGUCCUUCUAUCACAAUAACCAGUUAGAUGGAACCAACCACUGGAUCUACAGCACUGGAGCAGACUCCUCUUCAGGAACCACUUCUUGAAUUUCAACUUACUUUUAUGGGAGCUCUACAUGAAAUGAUAUGAAUAUGAAUGCUUAUGCUUUUGUAAUUUGCAACGAAGAUAGCAAAACAACUCUCUAGACUAUACCAAAAUCUAUGGUCUUUUAUGUAAACUUGUUUCUUCACCAACUAAUUCCUUUCAUCCACUAACCGCACCACUACGAUUCACACGCACAUCACAAAGCCCAAGUUGAUGGUGUGAACCACAAGCCUAUAAACAGUCGCGAACAAUCUUUCCUGGGACAUAAAACUAUGCUACCGAUUAAUCCAAACACACACGCAACCAUGCCAGUAGAGAUCAAACAACCAGUUUAAUGAGUUUCACCCGUAAGUAUAGAUACUAGAACACUACACAGAAACCGUGGAAUCGUACCAUGUUAUCCCAACUAUGGGAGGGCAGGAACAACCCCGGGCAUGGUCACCACAGCCAGUGGCAAGUAUGUUUCCAACAAAACCAAGGGUACUAGAUGGCAGAGAGGUGUUAGGGGGGUGACGUGGGUGUAGAUGAGUAGCAAGGCACAUAGGGGAAACCAGGAAAUCGUCGAGAGCACAAGCAAUUCAGUUUGGGCUCCAAACUAGCAUAACAAGAGGUGGCUUGAUGGAGGUCGAGCUGGGGCUAUUUCAGAGGGGAAAUGAGAAUUAACAAUCCCCAACACACACCUGCAUGUCUACCACGCAAGGUGGAAGCACAAGAAAAAAGUCCAGCACACCUUUACUGCAUGUAUGACACCUCAUGAACAGUGAAGCAGCUGAAUCAUCCAAGAGAUAGGCUUUACACCCUUCCUGCAUCUAUCCUUGGGGUGGUGAAUUUUUGACAAUAAACUUUCCUCUCUCAUAAGUCUCUUUUGGGCUAGCAUAUCCUAGAAUUCCCUAUAUCAAUUUGGUGGAUGGAGAUACUUUCAUCAGAUUAUUCUAAAGCUGCUCCUGUUGUUCUACUCGACUGAAACCUCAAGUUCAGCUCCCCUUUUUAUUACCUCAAAUAACCAGCAAAGAAACUUUAAUGCCCCCAACACACAAAUAUCACUUGGUCCAAAUCUGCAGGUAGUAGAUAUCUGCAGAUAGUAGACAAAACAGAUAUGAUCUCUUCUGUCCACAUCUCCCAAACAGUCCAGAACUAGAUAUUUUGCAGCAGAGCUGAAGUCACUAGAUCCUUGGUUUUGCACCCCACCCAUAUCCCAACUCGAGCACACCAGUGGAGCACAGGAAAGGGAGAAAAAUCUUCCUCAAUUUCCUAUCCCAAACACUGAAUCAACUUCCCUGACAUCAGUGUCCCAUUGCACAGCUCCCAGUUUGGUCUACUUUAUCUCACAAACUUCCUCAACAACGGCCCCUUCUUCCCUAAUAAAAAAUACUCUCCAAUCAUUGCUCUUCCACUUUGGUACAAUACCCCUAGGCUGAAACCACAUAGAACAAAAAUUAUGGGACACAAAAGUAGAGCAAAAACACUAAGAGGUUCAGUUUCGGCUGAAGUGAAAUAAUCCCCCAGACAGUCUGACAGAGGAAGUUUAGGUGCAUUUUACUCUAAAGUUUGUUAAGCACCAAGUCAGACCCACAUAACAAAACUUGUACUUCUUUACUUGGUCUCCAUCCUUGUUACAUAGUUCUUAGCCUAACACCUGGUGGAAUGGUCACGAAAGUGUUCCCAAACUGACACCAAACUGUGCAACUUCAGUUUUCAGGCACUGAUUGAAAUUCAGUUUCUGUAACUGACAGUCCCAGUUUUAAGCAACUAUUACUCCACUUUUCAUGCAGUACAAAGUCAACCUUAUUUAAGAAAACUUGUUCACUAUUGUAUGGUCUUCCAUUUUACUAUAGAAACCAUAGUCCAUAACCCCAUAGAUUAGCCACAAGAAAGCUCCGAAGUUGAGCAAAACUCACUGAAAUUCAGUUUUAGAUAACUGAAUCAAGUCUGAAAUUAAAAUCUGACAGCAUGUUUUGGAACGCCAUUUUCUCCCUGUUCUAAGCAUAUUCAAGGGCAUGAUCCUUACCAAGGGUUACUUCCCCAACAUUUAUCUCCAAGUUUGCUACAGAAACUAGAGCCUAAAAGCACAUGGAUUGAUCACAGAACAAACAUAGUACGAUCGUGUACCUUGCUGAGUUGUCUUGGCCACGGCGAGAUGGCCAAACUGACCGGCGUGGUCACUACUGGCAGGCCGAUGGUGUGCCAACACUUGUGCAGAGCAAACCUAGUGGCUAGGAAGAGACUAGCAUCAACUGGAGCACAAGGACUUCCACACUUUUACACUGGUCUUGGGCUAGAAUCAGAAGGCCAGGUUGAUGAGGACAUCACUAUGAGUACGACUACACCAGCAGCACCUCCACAUCAAGCGCCACUUCCUUCAUUAGUUGGGCCAAUCACUCGGGCCCGUGCCAGAGAUCUUAACUUCGUCAUGCUACUGAAGAAUGAGGGCCCAGAAGAAUAGACGACCAGCCCAACUGCGGCCCAUAGUGGACAACCUAGGGUUGGCCGCCCCUAGGGGCUGCGCCCCCUCUCUCUAUUUAUCCAGGAGCUGCGCCUCCUUUGUUCUUCGAGUUUUGUUUUACAUCUAGCUUUAGCUACCCCAGAACACGCACAAAUACGUGUUGUCCUCUGUGAUUCAGAACUCCACCUCGAGUGAUAUUAAGAUUGCUCGCAUCUUUUUCUUGUUCGUUCUUCGAUUGCGCACAGGAAACGAUCUUCGUGAUCAGGCCGAUCUCGCAUUAGCAAGGUCGGUAACCAUUGGGAGUUGGUUCAGCGAUUGCAUUGGCGCUUCGGGUUCGCUCGUCGUAGUCGGAUCGUGAGGGUCUACUUGCACCAAAUCGGAAUUAUCUCCACUCACCGAAAGAUCGGGCACUCCAGCUCUAUUAAGUGGUAUCAGAUUUCCAGGUUGAUCGGUGAGUUUAUCGAGUGUUUUUUUUCUCCUACAGUCCACAAAACCACAUAAAAAUUUAGGUUAGACCUUAUCCUAGCACCCUUUUGAGCCUCGCACUUUCUUUCAAUAAUCUGCAUUGUUGAAUUUGUGUGCUUUCAUGUCAUUUGUUACUGGUUGCAUUGUGUUAUUACACCAUUCAAACCCUAGCGCGCCGCCACCAUAUUCCGUUUGAUCACGCCACAAACCGAGUCAACGCCGCUUCCUUAUUUUUCUCCUUCGGUUACGUAAAAAACAGAAAAAAAACAAACCGAGUCAACACCGUUUCCUUGUUUUUCUACUUCGGUUACGUAAAAAAACAGAAACAAAAAAAAGAAAACGAAGGAGAAAGAAUACAAAGCGGUUGUCUCAUCUCGAUCGUUUUAAGCAUACCUUCCUUAAACCGGGCAUAACUUUUCGCUCGAUUGUUCAAAAAAUCUGAAUUUUUUACAGGAGCUUGUUGACACCAUUCUGAGGCCGGCCAAACUGGCCUAUGGCCUGUUUGGUUUCGAUAAAAUUGUCAAAAAAUUCAGGAAAAUAAAGAAAAAAAUUCAUCAAAGUUCUCGCACGCUUUUCAGAGAACUUCCUGAUUUUCUGUAGACCACAUCUGAACUCUGUUUUAGGUGAAACUUCGUGUAGCUCCUAUUUUGUUGCUCCUUAUGCUGAGAAAAAUAUCAAAAAAUCAUACAAAAAAAAAGAAAAACAAAAUCACUUGUGAUUCCUACUAGUGCCUUUUUGGCCUCGCUAGUACAAUAUUUACGGUACUGCCAUUCUGCUAGUUCCAUCCAUCCUUUGCACUUGUGGCCAGCAAUAUAGUUUCGUGUUUUGCACUAUAAUUCAACUUUGCAUUAUUGUUUGAUCGUGCUAAUCCUUGACUUGAGUGCAGCCUACCCAAAACUCCACAUAUUUCUACGACGAGAAGGUUUCUGUUUCUCCAGGCAAUCGCUCAUCCAAUCUUUCACCGGUUCCACCUGUUGGUUGCAGUUCACCACUGUGGCUUGGUAAGAACGGAUAAGAACUUGAUAACAGCAUUCCAUUGAGCGAGUUGUCACCACCAUUUUCCUGUUGUCGUCGGUUUUUCUCCUUUUGGUGUUUUGGUGUUUGUGCUAACUAUGGCAGGAGCACACGACACGGUGGAUGCCCAGUUGCUGGAAGUAAGGGGACAAGUUGAUGGACUUGCUGCUGACAUUAGGACGAUGCAUGAACGGCUUGAUUCAACGGUCAAUUCGACGACCGAGCGUUUCAACCAGCUUGACCUUGCUCAAACGGCGACUCGCACCACACUCGACACCAUCCUGGCACGCCUUGAUGCGUUGACCACAAAGAUGGAGCAGGACUACGGCGGUGAUACUGAGCAGGACGAUGGAGAUCGCCGUGGUCGUGCACGCCGUGUGGUUCGUCAUCCCCCUAAUGACUUAUUUUCUAAGAUUAAAUUUAAAAUUCCACCUUUUAAUGGCAAAUAUGAUCCUACUGCAUAUCUUGAUUGGGAGUUAGAGGUUGAACAAAAAUUUUCAUGCCAUGAUAUUGCUGCACAUUCUCAGGUUAAAGCUGCUAUUAGUGAAUUUAAUGAUUUUGCUUUAAUUUGGUGGCGUGAGUAUAAAAUGAAACAUCCCACUGCCAUUCCAACCACUUGGGAUCAGUUAAAAGCUGUGAUGAGACAUCGAUUUGUGCCUUCGUAUUAUGCUCGUGAUUUGCUUAAUAAAAUGCAGUGUUUUCAGCAAGGUUCUCAAUCUAUUGAGGACUAUUUCCAGGAGUUACAAAAAGGUAUGAUUCGUUGUGGGAUAUUGGAGGACAACGACGCUGCUAUGGCACGUUUUCGUGGUGGUUUAAACCGCGAAAUCCAGGAUAUACUUGAUUAUAAGGAAUAUUAUGAUAUGACUACUUUAUUUGAAUAUGCUUGUAAAACUGAACGUGAAGUGCAGGGACGCCGCUCGAAGCCAUAUUCUAACCCUUUUGCAGGACGAAGCUCGACAUCCACCUCAGCACCAGUUCCCUCUGCGCCAUCCACGUCCACCACUACUCCACGCGAUAAGAUGACCAAACCAGCCAGCAUUGCCCCACCCACAGGUCGUACACGGGAUAUUCAGUGUCAUCGCUGUAGAGGAUUUGGCCAUGUGAUUCGAGACUGCCCAAACAAGCGCACUUUGCUCAUUCGUGACGAUGGUGAGUACUCUUCCGCUAGUGAUUCUAAAGAAAUUGAACAUGCACUACCUGCCACUAACCAUGCAGCUCAGGCGGAGGUACAUGUCAACCCGGGCGACGCUGAUAGGUAUGAAAGUCUUGUUGUGCAGCGUGUUCUUAGUACACAGGUCGCUUUGCCCGAGAAGAAUCAGCGACACACUCUGUUCCAUACAAAGGGUGUUGUGGAGGAGCGGUCAAUUCGCAUCAUUAUCGACAGCGGCAGUUGCAACAAUUUGGCGAGUACCAUGUUGGUCGAAAAGUUGUCGUUACCCACUCGUAAGCAUCCAAACCCAUAUCACAUUCAAUGGCUUAAUGAUGGUGGUAAAAUAAAAAUCACGCGUUUCGUGCGUGUUCCUUUCUCCAUGGGUGCUUAUUCUGAUUUUGUUGAUUGUGAUGUUAUUCCCAUGGAAGCAUGCUCUUUGUUACUUGGUCGACCUUGGUAAUAUGAUACUGAUAGCUUGCAUCAUGGUCGUUCGAAUCAUUAUUCUUUCAUUUUUAAGGGUCAGAAAAUAAUUAUACAUCCAAUGACACCUGAACAAAUUGUUAAAGAUGAUCUUGCCCGAGCUACUAUAACUACUAAACAACUUGAUCCAUCACCCUCUGUUUCUUCUGAAAUCAAGUUGAAGGCUCCUAUUUUACUUGCUACACGUGCUGAUUUUGAUGAUCUACACUGAUGAGAACAUCACUAUGAGUACGACUACACCAGCAGCACCUCCACGUCAAGCGCCACUUCCUUCAUUAGCUGGGCCAAUCACUCGGGCCCGUGCCAAAGAUCUUAACUUCGUCAUGCUACUGAAGAAUGAGGGCCCAGGAGAAUAGACGACCAGCCCAACUGCGGCCCAUAGUGGAUGACCUAGGGUUGGCCGCCCCUAGGGGCUGCGCCCCCUCUCUCUAUUUAUAUAGGAGCUACGCCUCCUUUGUUCUUCGAGUUUUGUUUUACAUCUAGCUUUAGCUACCCCAGAACACGCACAAAUACGUGUUGUCCUCUGUGAUUCAGAACUCCACCUCGAGUGAUAUUAAGAUUGCUCGCAUCUUUUUCUUGUUCGUUCUUCGAUUGCGCAUAGGAAACGAUCUUCGUGAUCAGGCCGAUCUCGCAUCAGCAAGGUCGGUAACCAUUGGAAGUUGGUUCAGCGAUUGCAUUGGCGCUUCGGGAUUGCUCGUCGUAGUCGGAUCGUGAGGGUCUACUUCCACCAAAUCGGAAUUAUCUCCACUCACCGAAAGAUCGGGCACUCCAGCUCUAUCAAGUGGUAUCAAAUUUCCAGGUUGAUCGGUGAGUUUAUCGAGUGUUUUUUUCUCCUACAGUCCACAAAACCACAUAAAAAUUCAGGUUAGACCUUAUACCAGCACCCUUUUGAGCCUCGCACCUUCUUUCAAUAAUCUGCAUUGUUGAAUUUGUGUGCUUUCGCGUCAUUUGUUGCUGGUCGCAUUGUGUUUUUUCUCACCAUCCUUCUUUCUUCCUUGUUUUUCUCCUUCGGUUACAUCAAACCCUAGCGUGCCGCAACCAUCUUCCUUGUUUUUCUCCUUCGGUUACAUCAAACCCUAGCGUGCCGCAACCAUCUUCCUUGUUUCUCUCCUUCGGUUACAUCAAACCGAGUCAACGCCACAAACCGAGUCAACACCGCUUCCUUAUUUUUCUCCUUCGGUUACGUAAAAAAACAAAAAAAACAAACCGAGUCAACGCCGCUUCCUUGUUUUUCUCCUUCGGUUACGUCAAAAAACAGAAACAAAAAAAAAGAAAACGAAGGAGAAAGGAUACAAAGCGGUUGUCUCAUCUCGGUCGUUUUAAACAUACCUUCCUUAAACCGGGCAUAACUUUUCGCUCGGUUGUUCAAAAAAUCUGAAAUUUUUACAGGAGCUUGUUGACACCAUUCUGAGGCCGGCCAAAUGUUUGGGUUUCGACAAAAUUGUCAAAAAUAUUCAGGAAAAUAAAGAAAAAAUUCGUCAAAGUUCUCGCACGCUUUUCAGACAACUUCCUGAUUUUCUGUAGACCACAUCUGAACUCUGUUUUAGGUGAAAUUUUGUGUAGCUCCUCGUUUGUUCCUCAUUGUGCUGAGAAAAAUAUCAAAAAAUCAUACAAAAAAGAAAAACAAAAUCACUUGUGAUUCCUACUAGUGCCUUUUUGGCCUCGCUAGUACAAUAUUUACGGUACUGCCAUUCUGCUAGUUCCAUCCGUCCUUUGCACUUGUGGCCAGCAAUAUAGUUUCGUGUUUUGCACUGUAAUUCAACUUUGCAUUAUUGUUUGAUCGUUCUAAUCCUUGACUUGAGUGCAGCCUACCCAAAACUCCACAUAUUUCUACGACGAGAAGGUUUCUGUUUCUCCAGGCAAUCGCUCAUCCAAUCUUUCACCGGUUCCACCUGUUGGUUGCAGUUCACCACUGUGGCUUGGUAAGAACGGAUAAGAAUUUGAUAACAGCAUUUCAUUGAGCGAGUUGUCACCACCAUUUCUCUGUUGUCGUCGGUUUUUCUCCUUUUGGUGUUUUGGUGUUUGCGCUAACUAUGGCAGGAGCACACGACACGGUGGAUGCCCAGUUGCUGGAAGUAAGGGGACAAGUUGAUUGACUUGCUGCUGACAUUAGGAUGAUGCAUGAACGGCUUGAUUCAACGGUCACUUCGACGACCGAGCGUUUCAACCAGCUUGACCUUGCUCAAACGGCGACUCGCACCACACUCGACACCAUCCUGGCACGCCUUGAUGCGUUGACCACAAAGAUGGAGCAGGACUACGGCGGUGACACUGAGCAGGACGAUGGAGAUCGUCGUGGUCGUGCACGCCGUGUGGUUCGUCAUCCCUCUAAUGACUUAUUUUCUAAGAUUAAAUUUAAAAUUCCACCUUUUAAUGGCAAAUAUGAUCCUGCUGCAUAUCUUGAUUGGGAGUUAGAGGUUGAACAAAAAUUUUCAUGCCAUGAUAUUGCUGCACAUUCUCAGGUUAAAGCUGCUAUUAGUGAAUUUACUGAUUUUGCUUUAAUUUGGUGGCGUGAGUAUAAAAUGAAACAUUCCACUGCCAUUCCAACCACUUGGGAUCAGUUGAAAGCUGCGAUGCGACAUCGAUUUGUGCCUUCAUAUUAUGCUCGUGAUUUGCUUAAUAAAAUGCAGCGUUUUCAGCAAGGUUCUCAAUCUGUUGAGGACUAUUUCCAGGAGUUACAAAAAGGUAUGAUUCGUUGUGGGAUAUUGGAGGACAACGACGCUGCUAUGGCACGUUUUCGUGGUGGUUUAAACCACGAAAUCCAGGAUAUACUUAAUUAUAAGGAAUAUUAUGAUAUGACUACUUUAUUUGAAUAUGCUUGCAAAGCUGAACGUGAAGUGCAGGGACGCCGCUCGAAGACAUAUUCUAACCCUUUUGCAGGACGAAACUCGACAUCCACCUCAACACCAGUUCCCCCUGCGCCAUCCACGUCCACCACUACUCCACGCGAGAAGACGACCAAACCAGCCAGCACUGCCCCACCCACAGGUCGUACACGGGAUAUUCAGUUUUAUCGUUGUAGAGGAUUUGGCCAUGUGAUUCGAGACUGCCCAAACAAGCGCACUUUGCUCAUUCGUGACGAUGGUGAGUACUCUUCCGCUAGUGAUUCUGAAGAAAUUGAACAUGCACUACUUGUCACUAACCAUGCAGCUCAGGCGGAGGUACAUGUCAACCCAGGCGACGCUGAUAGGUAUGAAAGUCUUGUUGUGCAGCGUGUUCUUAGUACACAGGUCGCUUUGCCCGAAAAGAAUCAGCGACACACUCUGUUCCAUACAAAGGGUGUUGUGCAGGAGCGGUCAAUCCGCAUCAUUAUCGACAGCGGCAGUUGCAACAAUUUGGCGAGUACCAUGUUGAUCGAAAAGUUGUCGUUACAAACUCGUAAGCAUCCAAACCCAUAUCACAUUCAAUGGCUUAAUGAUGGUGGUAAAAUAAAAAUCACGCGUUCCGUGCGUGUUCCUUUCUCCAUGGGUGCUUAUUCUGAUUUUGCCCGAGAAGCAUGCUCUUUGUUACUUGGUCGACCUUGGCAAUAUGAUACUGAUAGCUUGCAUCAUGGUGGUUCGAAUCAUUAUUCUUUCAUUUUUAAGGGUCAGAAAAUAAUUAUACAUCCAAUGAAACCUGAACAAAUUGCUAAAGAUGAUCUUGCCCGAGCUGCUAUAACUGCUAAACAACUUGAUCCAUCACCCUCUGUUCCUUCUAAAAUCAAGUUGAAGGCUCCUGUUUUACUUGCUACACGUGCUGAUUUUGAUCAUCUACACGGUGCUCAUUUGCCAUGCUAUGCACUUGUAUGCUCUAGUGUCCUCAUUUCACUUGAUGAUGCACCAUCUUUGGCUAUUCCCCCUAUGGUUGCUAACCUUUUGCAGGAGUACGCUGAUGUCUUUCCCAAAGACUUACCACCGGGUCUCCCACCGCUUCGUGGCAUUGAGCACCAGAUCGACCUCAUCCCCGGCGCACAGCUUCCGAACCGCGCACCGUACCGUACAAAUCCGGAUGAGACGAAGGAGAUUCAGCGCCAGGUACAGGCGUUGCUUGACAAGGGAUACAUUCGUGAAUCUCUUAGCCCUUGCUCUGUUCCUGUGUUACUUGUUCCCAAGAAAGAUGGGUCAUGGCGUAUGUGUGUAGACUGUCGUGCUAUUAAUAACAUCACUAUUCGUUAUCGAUAUCCUAUACCACGCCUUGAUGAUAUGCUAGAUGAGCUUAGUGGUGCCAUUAUUUUCACUAAGAUUGAUUUGCGUAGUGGUUACCACUAGAUUAGAAUGAAACUGGGUGAUGAAUGGAAAACGACUUUUAAAACGAAAUUUGGUUUAUAUGAAUGGUUGGUUAUGCCGUUUGGAUUGACUAAUGCUCCCAGCACUUUUAUGCGAGUGAUGAAUGAAGUUCUGAGGCCCUUCAUAGGAUUGUUUGUGGUUGUUUAUUUUGAUGAUAUCCUUAUUUACAGCAAAUCUAAGAAAGAGCAUUUGGAACAUUUAAGUGCUGUUUUUGAUGCAUUGCGUGCUGCCCAGUUAUUUGCUAACAUGGAAAAAUGCAUCUUUUGCACACGACGUGUCUCGUUUCUUGGUUAUGUUGUUACUCCACAGGGCAUUGAGGUGGAUAGCAGCAAGAUUGCUGCCAUUCGGGAGUGGCCUACACCGACGACGGUCACACAAAUUCGGAGCUUUCUUGGACUUGCCGGAUUCUACUGCAGAUUUGUUCGUGAUUUUAGCUCCAUUGCAGCGCCUCUACAUGAGCUUACAAAGAAAGAUGUGUCGUUUGCUUGGAGUGAUUCGCAGGAGGAAGCGUUCAGCACUUUGAAAGAUAAUUUAACCCAAGCUCCCCUAUUGCAAUUGCUUGAUUUUAAUAAAGUGUUUGAGCUUGAAUGCGAUGCUAGCUGUAUUGGGCUAGGUGCUGUUUUGUUACAAGAAGGAAAACUAGUUGCUUAUUUUAGUGAAAAAAUAAGCGGUGCUAGUCUGAAAUAUUCUACUUAUGAUAAGGAGGUUUACGCUUUAGUGCGCACUUUGCAUACAUGGCAGCACUAUCUUUGGCAUCGUGAGUUCAUAAUUCAUUCUGAUCAUGAGGCUUUAAAACAUAUUCGUACCCAAACAAAUCUGAACCGUCGUCAUGCUAAAUGGGUAGAAUUCAUUGAGUCUUUUCCUUACAUUAUUAAACACAAGAACGGAAAGGACAAUGUUAUUGCUGAUGCUUUGUCUCGUCGCUAUACCAUGUUGUCACAGUUAGAUUUUAAAAUCUUUGGUUUGCACACUGUGAAAGAUCAAUAUGUUGACGAUGCUGAUUUUAAAGAUGCUUUCGGCCAUUGUAUUAAUGGGAAACCAUGGGGCAAAUUUCACAUGCAGGAUGGGUUCCUGUUUCGCGCUAACAAGCUGUGUGUUCCAGCUAGCUCGGUUCGUCUUUUGUUGUUACAGGAAGCACAUGGAGGCGGUCUCAUGGGGCACUUUGGCGUCUACAAGACACAUGAGGUGUUGGCUGCCCACUUCUUUUGGCCUCGGAUGCGCGCUGAUGUUGAGAGCCUUGUUGUACGCUGCACUACUUGUCAGAAAGCUAAGUCACGGUUGAACAACCAUGGUUUGUAUAUGCCUUUGCCUGUUCCUACUUCCCCUUGGAUUGAUAUUUCGAUGGAUUUUGUUUUGGGAUUGCCUAGAACUAAGAAGGGGAGGGAUAGCAUAUUUGUGGUUGUUGAUCGAUUCUCCAAAAUGGCUCAUUUCAUACCUUGUCAUAAGACUGAUGAUGCUAGCAAUGUUGUUGAAUUGUUUUUUAGAGAGAUUAUUCGUUUGCACGGUAUUCCCAAUACAAUAGUCUCGGAUCGUGAUGCUAAGUUUCUCAAUCAUUUUUGGAGAUCUCUGUGGAAUAAAUUGGGAACUAAAUUGUUGUUUAGCACCACUUGUCACCCUCAGACUGAUGGUCAAACUGAGGUAGUUAAUCGAACUUUGUCUACCAUGCUUAGGGCUGUUUUAGACAAAAAUUUGAAACGUUGAGAGGAUUGCUUGCAUCAUGUUGAGUUUGCUUAUAAUCAUGCAACACAUUCUUCUACAAAGAUGUGCCCUUUUCAAAUUGUUUAUGGUUACUUUCCUAGGGCGCCUAUUGCUUUGUUUUCGCUUGAUGCUGCGGACGCCCCACACAUAGAUGUUGUUGCACAUGUUGAACAAAUGAUUAACCUCCAUGAACAAACUCAACAAAACAUUGCUGCUACUAAUGCAAAAUAUCAGGUUGCUAGUAGUAAAGGAAGAAAACUUGUUACUUUUGAGCCAGGUGAUAUGGUUUGGAUGCACUUGAGAAAGGAUCGGUUUCCUACUUUGCAACGUUCUAAAUUAAUGCCUCGUGCUGCUGGUCCUUUUAAGGUGCUAACAAAGAUUAAUGAUAAUGCUUAUAUCCUUGACCUGCCUGCGGAAUUUGGUGUUUCCACUAGUUUUAUUGUUGCAGAUUUGAAACCAUAUAUGGCCGAGGAUGAGGAAUUGCCGUCGAGGACGACUUCACUUCAAGAAGGGGAGGAUGAUGAGGACAUCACUAUGAGUACGACUACACCAGCAGCACCUCCACGUCAAGCGUCACUUCCUUCAUUAGCUGGGCCAAUCACUCGGGCCCGUGCCAGCUUUAGCUACCCCAGAACACACACAAAUACGUGUUGUCCUCUGUGAUUCAGAACUCCACCUCGAGUGAUAUUAAGAUUGCUCGCAUCUUUUUCUUUUUCGUUCUUCGAUUGCGCACAGGAAACGAUCUUCGUGAUCAGGCCGAUCUCGCAUCAGCAAGGUCGGUAACCAUUGGAAGUUGGUUCAGCGAUUGCAUUGGCGCUUCGGGAUCGCUCGUCGUACUCGGAUCGUGAGGGUCUACUUCCACCAAAUCGGAAUUAUCUCCACUCACCGAAAGAUCGGGCACUCCAGCUCUAUCAUACACGGUGCUCAUUUGCCAUGCUAUGCACUUGUAUGCUCUAGUGUCCUCAUUUCACUUGAUGAUGCACCAUCUUUGGCUAUUCCCCCUAUGGUUGCUAACCUUUUGCAGGAGUACGCUGAUGUCUUUCCCAAAGACUUACCACCGGGUCUCCCACCGCUUCGUGGCAUUGAGCACCAGAUCGACCUCAUCCCCGGCGCACAGCUUCCAAACCGCGCACCGUACCGUACAAAUCCGGAUGAGACGAAGGAGAUUCAGCGCCAGGUACAGGCGUUGCUUGAUAAGGGAUACAUUCGUGAGUCUCUUAGCCCUUGCUCUGUUCCUGUGUUACUUGUUCCCAAGAAAGAUGGGCCAUGGCGUAUGUGUGUAGACUGUCGUGCUAUUAAUAACAUCACUAUUCGUUAUCGAUAUCAUAUACCACGCCUUGAUGAUAUGCUAGAUGAGCUUAGUGGUGCCAUUAUUUUCACUAAGAUUGAUUUGCGUAGUGGUUACCACCAGAUUAGAAUGAAACUGGGUGAUGAAUGGAAAACAGCUUUUAAAACGAAAUUUGGUUUAUAUGAAUGGUUGGUUAUGUCGUUUGGAUUGACUAAUACUCCCAGCACUUUUAUGCAAGUGAUGAAUGAAGUUCUGAGGCCCUUCAUAGGAUUGUUUGUGGUUGUUUAUUUUGAUGAUAUCCUUAUUUACAGCAAAUCUAAGAAAGAGCAUUUGGAACAUUUAAGUGUUGUUUUUGAUGCAUUGCGUGGUGCCCAGUUAUUUGCUAACAUGAAAAAAUGCAUCUUUUGCACACGACGUGUCUCGUUUCUUGGUUAUGUUGUUACUCCACAGGGCAUUGAGGUGGAUAGCAGCAAGAUUGCUGCCAUUCGGGAGUGGCCUACACCGACGACGGUCACACAAAUUCGGAACUUUCUUGGACUUGCCGGUUUCUACCGCAGAUUUGUUCAUGAUUUUAGCUCCAUUGCAGCGCCUCUACAUGAGCUCACAAAGAAAGAUGUGUCGUUUGAUUGGCGUGAUUCGCAGGAGGUAGCGUUCAGCACUUUGAAAGAUAAGUUAACCCAAGCUCCCUUAUUGCAAUUGCCUGAUUUUAAUAAAGUGUUUGAGCUUGAAUGCGAUGCUAGCGGUAUUGGGCUAGGUGCUAUUUUGUUACAAGAAGGAAAACCAGUUGCUUAUUUUAGUGAAAAAUUAAGCGGUGCUAGUCUGAAAUACUCUACUUAUGAUAAGGAGCUUUACGCUUUAGUGCGCACUUUGCAUACAUGGCAGCACUAUCUUUGGCAUCGUGAGUUCAUAAUUCAUUCUGAUCAUGAGGCUUUAAAACAUAUUCGUACCCAAACAAAUCUGAACCGUCGUCAUGCUAAAUGGGUAGAAUUCAUUGAGUCUUUUCCUUACAUUAUUAAACACAAGAACAGGAAGGACAAUGUUAUUGCUGAUGCUUUGUCUCGUCGCUAUACCAUGCUGUCACAGUUAGAUUUUAAAAUCUUUGGUUUGCACACUGUGAAAUAUCAAUAUGUUUACGAUGCUGAUUUUAAAGAUGCUUUUGGCCAUUGUAUUAAUGGGAAACCAUGGGGCAAAUUUCACAUAGAGGAUGGGUUCCUGUUUCGCGCUAACAAGCUGUGUGUUCCAGCUAGCUCAGUUCGUCUUUUGUUGUUACAGGAUGCGCAUGGAGGCGGUCUCAUGGGGCACUUUGGCGUCUACAAGACACAUGAGGUGUUGGCUGCCCACUUCUUUUGGCCUCGGAUGCGCGCUGAUGUUGAGCGCCUUGUUGCACGCUGCACUACUUAUCAGAAAGCUAAGUCACGGUUGAACAACCAUGGUUUGUAUAUGCCUUUGCCUGUUCCUACUUCCCCUUGGAUUGAUAUUUCGAUGGAUUUUGUUUUGGGAUUGUCUAGAACUAAGAAGGGGAGGGAUAGCAUUUUUGUGGUUGUUGAUCGAUUCUCCAAAAUGGCUCAUUUCAUACCUUGUCAUAAGACUGAUGAUGCUAGCAAUGUUGCUGAAUUGUUUUUUAGAGAGAUUAUUCGUUUGCACAGUAUUCCCAAUACAAUAGUUUCGGAUCGUGAUGCUAAGUUUCUCAGUCAUUUUUGGAGAUCUCUGUGGAAUAAAUUGGGAACUAAAUUGCUGUUUAGCACCACUUGUCACCCUCAGACUGAUGGUCAAACUGAGAUAGUUAAUCGAACUUUGUCUACCAUGCUUAGGUCUGUUUUAGACAAAAAUUUGAAACGUUGGGAGGAUUGUUUGCCUCAUGUUGAGUUUGCUUAUAAUCAUGCAACACAUUCUUCUACAAAGAUGUGCCCUUUUCAAAUUGUUUAUGGUUACAUUCCUAGGGCGCCUAUUGCUUUGUUUUCGCUUGAUGCUGCGAACGCCCCACACAUAGAUGUUGUUGCACAUGUUGAACAAAUGAUUAACCUCCAUGAACAAACUCAACAAAACAUUGCUGCUACUAAUGCAAAAAAUCAGGUUGUUGGUAGUAAAGGAAGAAAACUUGUUACUUUUGAGCCAGGUGAUAUGGUUUGGUUGCACUUGAGAAAGGAUCGGUUUCAUACUUUGCGCCGUUCUAAAUUAAUGCCUCGUGUUGCUGGUCCUUUUAAGGUGCUAACAAAGAUUAAUGAUAAUGCUUAUAUCCUUGACCUGCCUACGGAAUUUGGUGUUUCCACUAGUUUUAAUGUUGCAGAUUUGAAACCAUAUAUGGCCGAGGAUGAGGAGUUGCCGUCGAGGACGACUUCACUUCAAGAAGGGGAGGAGGAUGAGGACAUCACUAUGAGUACGACUACAGCAGCAGCACCUCCACAUCAAGCGCCACUUCCUUCAUUAGCUGGGCCAAUCACUCGAGCCCGUGCCAGAGAUCUUAACUUCGUCAUGCUACUGAAGAAUGAGGGCCCAGAAGAAUAGACGACCAGCCCAACUGCGGUCCAUAGUGGACGACCUAGGGUUGGCCGCCCCUAGGGGCUGCGCCCCCUCUCUCUAUUUAUCCAGGAGUUGCGCCUCCUUUGUUCUUCGAGUUUUGUUUUACAUCUAGCUUUAGCUACCCCAGAACACGCACAAAUACGUGUUGUCCUCUGUGAUUCAGAACUCCACCUCGAGUGAUAUUAAGAUUGCUCGCAUCUUUUUCUUGUUCGUUUUUCGAUUAUGCACAGGAAACGAUCUUCGUGAUCAGGUCGAUCUCGCAUCAGCAAGGUCGGUAACCAUUGAGAGUUGGUUCAGCGAUUGCAUUGGCGCUUCGGGUUCGCUCGUCGUAGUCAGAUCGUGAGGGUCUACUUCCACCAAAUCGGAAUUAUCUCCACUCACCGAAAGAUCGGGCACUCCAGCUCUAUCACAGGUGAAUCCUUCACUGAACCAGAUUUCAGAGCCACCAUAUAUAUAGCAAACGUCCCUAGACAUGGCCAACAUGCAGUGAAGCAGUGUGUCCGAGAGCGCCAGCAACAUAUGGACUUCAACACGUGGCUAACAUGCUCUCAUACCCCACCAGUACACAACCUUGGUUAGGACACUGAACCUGGUCCAUUUUCUCAACACAAAUAUCAGUUGGGGAUAUGCUUUAAUAUGUCCAAGAACAGGAUAUUCUUUCCAGCUGAGGGUGGGUUCUAGACCUCAGUUAUACCCUCCACACUUAUCUCAACUAUACACAUACAUGUAUCUCUUUUGUCCCCUACUGCAGACAGCAGACCAACCAAUCAAUUCUCCACUAUUUACUGCUCCAAAAUAGUCCAAAUUAGAUAUUUUUGGUGGAGAGUAGCCUCAAAGUAUCAGUCAUGCACUUCCCCCAUAUGACAGCUUAAUAUGUCAGUGGAGCACAGCAAAGAAAAAGAUUCUUCUUUAGUUACACCUCCACACACUGAAUCACUUCAUCAACCUGCUGCCCCAUUUAAUUCCUCCCAGUUCAGACCCUCUGAUCUUUCAAUUUUUCAUAGCAACAGACCAUGCUCCCUUCACAAAAGUUGUUCUCUAUACAUAGUUCUACCAACUUGGUAUAGAAAUCACAGGUUGAAAAUAUUUAGAGCAAGAGUUAUUGCAAUCCAAAGUUAAGCAAAACACUCAAAAUUCAGUUUCGGAUUUAUUAAACAGCACAAUACUAGGUCUGACAGAGAGUUUUGUCACCCCUUUUUCUCUAGAUUACACACAGUAACAAGUCAAUCCUUUGCAUAAAAGUUGUUCCCCUUCAUAUGGACUUUGACUUUACUACAGAACUCGUAACCAAAAUCUCCAUAGAUUAAUUAUCAUAGAGAUCCAAACUGGGCAACUUGCUGCCAUUCAGGGUUCAGAACUGAAUUAAAAUUCAGUUAUUAACCAACCUGACAAUCCAAUCUUUGAGCAACUAUUUCUGCACUUUUUGUAUGGGAUCAGGUCCACCACCCUAUAAGAAAGUUGUUCGACUGGUCUUCACUUAUUCUACAAACACCACAGCACAAAACCUUAUAGAAUAGCCACAAAUAGGCUUCAAAACUGAUAUCAAAACACUGAAAUUCAGUUACUGUUUCCAAUCUGAAUAUUCAGAAACACAGCAGCACCACUUUGAACCACUCUUUUUCUUGGGUUCCAAUUGUUUCUAGGGGCAAGUUUCUUAAUAAAGUUUAUACUCCUAUAGUUCCUCUACAAGUUUUAUAUAAUGACCAAUAACAAAAGCCUCUUGGAUCCCAAACUACAAUAGCCCAAAGUUUGCUCCAAUUGCUGAAAUUCAGACUCUGUCUGAAAUCCCCACUUUCAGACAGCUCUACUUUAGGCCAGCUUUUAUCUAUGUUCCAAAUAGCUUUAGGGCUAAGUGUAUUAACAAAACUUAUACUCCUCAUGUAUCUCUAUAACUUUGUUAUAAUGAUCAUCUUCAAACAGUUUAUAGAUCAAAUGUUAUGAGGACCCAAAAACAACUAGUUGAUAUUAUUUUCAGCAAACUUCAAAUCUGAUUCAAAACUGAAUUAAACUUUUUACUCCAACUUUUCCUCUAAAACUUGGAAUUCUCCAUACAUAAAAGUUGUUCAACUUACCAAAAUCUACAACUUUGAUAUAUGGACAACUAGCAAAUUCUCUCUAGAUUUAAAACUCCACUUUUGGGCUAGUUGAGGGUUUCAAAUGUGACUCCUUCUCAUCUAGUGAUUUAUCAACUCAAUCCAUACUUCUAAAAGCCAAGUGACUCCCCUUAAUCUCAAAUCCAACUCUAGUAUAUGAAGCUCAUGUCCAAAGUGUCCUUGGUUUAGGAGUUGUUUUGUUUAUCCACAAUUCCAAGCAAGGUUUUGAAAUCUCACUUAAGGUUUUUAAUGUUAAUCCAGUUCCUCAAUUAAUUCUUCCACUCAACCCACCUUUGAAAGCAAAGUAUUACCUUUAAUACUUCAAAUUCCAAGCCAACUUAUUACUUGCUCAAGAGAUGACUUCUCUUCCCAUGUCUUAAGCAAAGUUCUUAAUCUGAGCCCUAUACUCUAAUAGGGCAACACCAUAUUCACUAAAAAAUUUUGACCUAGUGAAUGCAUUCUAGGUAUAUCAAACAAGAUAAUACAAAUGCUUAUGAUGACAUGUCAGAGUUUUAGUUAACGUAACACCAGGGGUGUUACAAAGAUCUACGUGGUUGGAAUAUUAAAUUAUGAAUUGAUUAUUGUACAUCCAAUGAGAAAAUAUACUCUAAAUAAUCAAUUCAACCUUAACCUAGAUUAUACUUGACUAGAGAUCAUGUUUUAACCACAUUAUGAUUAUGGUUGGGUUAGUUUUGAUUUAGCAGAGUUAAUCUAGUAGACAUAGGAUGAAUAAAUUUCUAACUAUAAAAUCAUGCAAUAUGAUAUAAUUAAUGUUGUUACUGCGUAGAUAAUAUUUUUAUGAAGCAAACGUAACUGGAACGGAUUAAAUCGGAGUUAAGACGCAGAAGAUAUGAUUUUUUCUAAGGUUUUCGGGUUUAUCUUAUAGUUAAAAAUCAAUUUCUUGAUUUAUUCCAAGAAUUACCAAUGUCUCUGGAUGGCGGGUACAAUUUUCUAGGAACGCAAGGGCCAAAGUGUUAAAAACAGGGCCUAAUUGCAAGGUUCUUAGAACUGCCUAGCACUGCGGGUUGUUUAGAGAAAAACUCGGGGGGUCUUUGGAGCAAAGAUGUCAGCCGAAGGGUAAUGAGCCAACUGGGGUCGCCCGAUGAAGGAUCAAGGGCCGAGAUUAUACAGCGAAUCGGUAUGCAACCGCGUCCGCCCGAUCCAUAUCUAACGAUCCAGAUCACUCUAGCCGAAGCGUUAGCCACCAUUUAAUCUGGGUCGCCAGCAGCCAGAUCAAUGGUCGGGAUCUAAACACCGAAGAGGUAUGCCCCGUUCUAAUCUCCACCGUUGACUCCCAGAUCUAUGGCCAGGAAUCAUCGCCUAAGCCUAGCCGUCGAUCUCCAUCCUAACGGACGUGACAUCGUCUUGUUCCUCCCAUCGCCCAGGUAUAGGGCUGCCCGCGCGCCACACACGCGUUCGUAUCCUCCCGACGAACCGCAUGGCUGCGCAAGCAAGGGAAUUAGUUACCCGCGGUACCGCGUGCGGCGCAGCUAAAACCUACGCCCCGAGGAAACACUGAUGAAUCACAGGGACGUUCUCUUACCGUUUUCGAGGCACCAGUGUAGUUGUCCACGGAGACUGGUGGCGCGCCGGAUCUCUUGACGUCGACAACGAGGCACCCGGUCUCCGACACAGUGACCCCGUGGGCGAGUCCUCGCGUAGUGCAAGGAUGCACCAUUGUCUGGCACUGCGUGAAGGUUGCGGACGAGCUCAAUUCUCACCCGCGAAUGGACCCACGUCCUUCUACCCUUGUUUCUCUCUCUUAAUGGCUGCAAUCCAAGCAGCGCACACCCGCCGCUUUUGCUCCAGGUCGACCGAGACGGCCAACAGUUAGGACCAUCCAAUUUAUGGGCAAGCAGAGC
rnacentral:lncRNA from 1 species